UGUAAAAGUGUACAAACGACAGACUAAAGGGAUUCAGGGUGACAUAUGCUGUUUAGGGGUGAUAUAUACUCAUGUUCAUUCAUAUAAGAAGAUUUAUCAACAUGAAACUGUUCGUAAUAUUUAUACCAACUUAUCCAUUUACUUGAUUAUAUGCAAACUGCGCUAAUAGAUUGUGAGGCGUUGGAUCUCGAUCUGAUGGAUAAGUAGGGACGCGAAUCUCAUAGGACCAAUAUGGAAUUUUCGUAAAUACGCUCAUCUUCGUUUUACUCUGUCAUCGUCGCACAUUAUCUAUUCAACGAUCUUCAUCGUACAUCAAAAUCAGUUUCAAUAUCUUUAAAAAAGGCACGCGUAAUUAUAAAUUCAGGUGUCAAAAUCCUCUGUUUGAUCUUGCUGGUGACAAGGAGAAGCAAUGGUGUUCUAUUUGGAUAGUGAUUUGGUUUUUUAAGCUUAACAAAAUGACAAUAUUUGUAACUUGAUUGUAUUUCAAUCUUUUUAGAUGUAAUGCAUCUAUUUGUGAAGCUUUAAUAUACAUGCUCA